AAAGCCAGGAAGCUGCGGGUGAUAUAGUAGGGACUGGGAUCAACUCCUAAGAAGGGAAAUACCAGUAAAUGGCUAAGUGAGAUUGUGGAAAGUUACAGAAGUAGAGUGAAUGUCUGUGAAAGGAUGAGACUGAAUGUGACCUGGCUGGAGAGCUGGAAUGAGAAGAAGCAGACUCCUGGACAAGGGGGCACUGGAGGAGGAGACUAUUGUGGUUUGCCCACCAACGAGGGGGUAUGCUAGCUGGAACACUUGAAUAACCUGGAUUUUACCAUCAAAAUUGGUAAUGAAAAGCAGAUCUCAAAGUUGCAUAU